rnacentral:rRNA from 1 species
AGUGAACGCUGGCGGUAGGCCUAACACAUCCAAGUCGAACGGCAGCACAGUAAGAGCUUGCUCUUACGGGUGGCGAGUGGCGGACGGGUGAAGAAUACAUCGGAAUCUACUUUUUCGUGGGGGAUAACGUAGGGAAACUUACGCUAAUACCGCAUACGACCUACGGGUGAAAGCAGGGGAUCUUCGGACCUUGCGGGAUUGAAUAAGCCGAUGUCGGAUUAGCUAGUUGGCGGGGUAACGGCCCACCAAGGCGACGAUCCGUAGCUGGUCUGAGAGGAUGAUCAGCCACACUGGAACUGAGACACGGUCCAGACUCCUACGGGAGGCAGCAGUGGGGAAUAUUGGACAAUGGGCGCAAGCCUGACCCAGCCAUACCGCGUGAGUGAAGAAGGCCUUCGGGUUGUAAAGCCCUUUUGUUGGGAAAGAAAAGCAGCAGGUUAAUACCCCGCUGUUCUGACGGUACCCAAAGAAUAAGCACCGGCUAACUUCGUG